GUUAGCCAUAUUUACGUUAACCGUCAUAGUGAUAGCUAGCUAAACCUUCUGGCUAAAUAGACAUGACUUGAUUAGCCACAAACCGGUCCUUUUUAAGUUAUAACAAGCGAAGGGCUGAUUCGGGGGUAACGUUAACGUUUUUACUAUCCUGGUCAGCUAACGUCCUGCCGUGGAUAGCCGUGUCUUACAGCAAAAUAUAAACAAGACGUGAUCUGUGCCUGUUUAUGAUAACCAUUGCUAAUCUAGACCUUGUUAAGCACACACCUACGUAUAAACAGUAACAUCCAUUUUACUGGGUUUGUGCAUCUCAGUAGAUGACAUUACUGAUUCGUUUUUAGCAUCUGUGUGACCUGAAUAGUACCUUCUCCAACCCUACGUAACAUCGCUAUGUGAAAUGAGCAACCCAUGCCUGUAAACAAAUUAACUUAUACUUAAUAUUUAUUCAUUUUAAUAACCAACAGUAGCGCCCUGCCUUGCUUUGUAGUGACACAUUGGAAACAAGCUAUUUUGACUGAUGGUUCCAAUACACUUUUAGCUAAAGAUCACAUCAACUGCACAUAACAUGGUAUUUUUAGUCUAGCAGGGAAAGAUGAACUGUUGAUAUGAAUGAUCAAGAUGAACUGUUGAACGUUUAGCUAGCGUAUUUGUUCUAGCAGUGCCACCACAGACAAACUGCAAACUGAGCAGUUUAUCCACAGUCAUGAUACCUGAAUGUUGUAAGGUGCCUCGUUUGUUUGCCUUGAGCGAAAAGACUUAGCUCUCACACUGACUGUCUCGCUCCUCUUGACUGUCUGUAAAAUUAUUUAUUGUUAACACUCAAAAUAACAGUCAGUCUGGUGUGGUUAAUAUAUCUUAACAAUGCUUAGCAUCAGCUUGUAAUGUUGUCACGUCCUGUUUUAUCUAGCUAACAAGCUAACUUUAAAAGUAACGUUAGCUAAUGUUGAUUUCAGAAAAAAAGCUGUGAUCGUCUGUGCAUUACCUUCCACGUCGUGCACAUAUCCCUCGAUCCAGUUGCUGUAUCCUUUCAGCAAAACAGCCUGGGGAAUCAUGCAGUCCUUAUUGGCCCAUGAUGACAGACGCCCGCUGCUGCGCUCUGUCAAUGAACUUCCUGUUUAGAGUGUACCCCCUAGCCUCGUUUUGGAUUUCAAGAUGGAGGCGCGGUGAAUAAGAAAAUGGCAGAUCGUUUCGCCAGAUAAGACCCCAUUCCUCAGCUGAGAUCGUACAGAGCCCUUUGAAACACUUGAGAGAGCCCUUUGAAACGGCAUUGAUUUGAACUUCAACAUUUUGGUUGUCUUUGAAGCCAAUUGUGUGGAGAAAAACCCUGAAAUGUUUUGCUCAAAAAACUGAAGAAAGAAAGACAUGAACAUGUUGGAUGGCAUUGGGGUGAGUGAAUUAUCAGGAAAUGUUCAUUUUGAGGUGAACUAAUCCUUUAACCUGUAUUAACCUGAAUUGAAUGUUUUAUAUUUUGUAAUUAAUAAAUACAUUCAUUUGAAA
ensembl:lncRNA